AGCGGCAGACGGGUGAGUAACACAUGGGAAACCUCCCUCAAAAUGGGGAACAUCUCCGAGAAAUCGGAGCUAAUACCGCAUAAGACCACAGUCUGGCAUCAGACAGGGGUAAAAGCAGUAAUGCGUUUUGAGAUGGUCCUGUGUCCUAUCAGCUUGUUGGUGAGGUAACGGCUCACCAAGGCUAAGACGGGUAUCCGGCCUGAAAGGGUGAACGGACACACUGGAACUGAGACACGGUCCAGACUCCUACGGGAGGCAGCAGUGGGGAAUUUUGGACAAUGGGCGCAAGCCUGAUCCAGCGACGCCGCGUGGAGGAUGAAGGCCUUCGGGUUGUAAACUCCUUUUGGAGGGGAAGAAUAAAUUGACGGUACCCUCAGAAAAAGCCACGGCUAACUACGUGCCAGCAGCCGCGGUAAUACGUAGGUGGCGAGCGUUACUCGGAAUUACUAGGCGUAAAGCGUAUGUAGGCGGUUGUAUAAGUCUAUGGUGAAAUUUCCUGGCUCAACUGGGAAGGGACAUAGAUACUGUAUGGCUUGAGUGUUGGAGGGGGAGACGGAAUUCCUGGUGUAGCGGUGAAAUGCGUAGAUAUCAGGAGGAACACCGAUGGCGAAAGCAGUCUCCUGGCCAAAUACUGACGCUGAGGUACGAAAGCUAGGGUAGCAAACAGGAUUAGAUACCCUGGUAGUCCUAGCU
rnacentral:rRNA from 1 species